rnacentral:rRNA from 1 species
UACGGAGGGUGCGAGCGUUGUCCGGAAUCAUUGGGCGUAAAGGGCGCGUAGGUGGCCCGGUCAGUCUUUGGUGAAAGCGCGGGGCUCAACCCUGCGUCGGCCAGGGAUACUGCCGCGGCUCGAGCACUGUAGAGGCAGGCGGAAUUCCGGGUGUAGCGGUGGAAUGCGCAGAUAUCAGGGGAACACCGGUGGCGAAGGCGGAUCUCUGGGCCUUACCUGACGCUCAGGUGCGAAAGCUAGGGGAGCGAACAGG